AAGGAUAUAUGACCAUGGCAACACCGCUGGAGUUUGUAGCAGUCAUUCCAGGUUCUUAUUGCGUGUGAUUCUUGUCGCAGCUAGAAAUAUGAUGUCAAUUAAGACAUCUAUUUCAUCUAUGUUGUUGUAUUCAAUGGCACAACGUGUUUCCUUCAUGCACAGUAAAUUCUUAUUUGCCAGAACUAUCUUCUUUGUUCCCGUGUCAUCGGGGUCGAUAACACAACUUAGUCACAAAUAAUGGAGUGGUUUCAUGAUUCUCAUUCCAAUCGUUAAAAUGGUUGCUUUGAAACUUGAAAGUGUGCACGCAAGCAUAUUUUACAAAAUUCUUCAUACACAAGACAGCGUCUUCAGUAUUGACGUUUCAACGAGUAAUUUUGAAAAACAUCUAAUUAUUUAGAAUAAAUGAUAUUUUUGUAGUUCCAAUUUCUUUUGCUAUCAUGUGACAAUACAGUUAAAAACAUUAAUGCAUAUGAUUUCAAAUUUUGUUUCACAAUGUUGAUAUUCACAAUGUAGAAUAUAUAAUGAGUGAUUCUAUAUUGAAUGAGCACAGGUUUUGUUAUUUUAAUGACAUGCAAACAAUUUUGCCACCUAUAAAUGUGCAUUUUCAGUAUUUUGAUCUUAUUGAUUUUCGAAGUCAAACUUCGCCAUAAAAUUCAGAAUUUCGUUGCUGGAUAGUAGAUACUUUGGAAUUAUUGCCAUUUAAUCGAGUCGGCAUUUACGAAGAAUUUUAGGUUAGCUAUUCUGAAUAAUUUGAACUUUAACCACGACGUCCACGGGAAGAUCCGCGGUGCAGAACAACAACGUUCAACACAGUUAUUCAAACGAAUUGUGUUUGGUUAAAUUUUUGAUAAAGAAAUGGACAGUAUCAACUCUUCUCAAUUAAAGCCCAUACCAUCGUCUGAAAAUGAAAGAAUAAAAGAAUUAAAUGAGAUCAAAAUGAGUGGUGAAAAUGCAGAAAUAAAUCCCAGGGCGUCACUUCUUUAUUUUAUAACUUCAAGUAUGAAAAUCCAACGCCAUUCUAAAUCUGCAAUGAUAUUGCUUGUUGGAGGUAGUGGAUGUGGUAAAUCAUCAACAAUAAAUCAUUUACUGGACACUGGAGAUGGAAUUAGUGUUAUUGAGACAAGUGAUAACGAAUCAUCUACGAAAAAAACAUCUGAGUAUAUUAUUACUAUUGACGAACCCAAGUAUGAAGUGUCAGAGCGCCAACUGUAUUGAUAGAAAAUGAUCCUUAUGAUGAUUAUGAACUAGAAAAGAAAGGAGAAUUCACAAUUCUUCCCAAUGGUGAAAGACAACCUUUGAAUUUAUACAAAGCUUGCCUUGGCUUUCUCACAAAAAGCAAAGAUGGAAACGAUAUCACAGAUAAGUUUGGGCAUAUGGUGUUCAAUGCUGCAUUUACACGAAAGAAAAA